UACAGAGGUCCCAAGCGUUGUUCGGAUUCAUUGGGCGUAAAGGGCGCGUAGGCGGUCAGCACAAGUCAGUUGUGAAAUCUCCGAGCUUAACUCGGAAAGGUCAACUGAUACUGUGCGACUAGAGUGCGGAAGGGGCAACUGGAAUUCUUGGUGUAGCGGUGAAAUGCGUAGAUAUCAAGAGGAACACCUGCGGCGAAGGCGGGUUGCUGGGCCGACACUGACGCUGAAGCGCGAAAGCCAGGGGAGCGAACGGG
rnacentral:rRNA from 1 species